CCUCUGGACUAUUAUAUCAAACGAAAGUAGCGUUGCGAAAUCGGAUAGGAAGAACGAGGAA
rnacentral:ncRNA from 12 species